rnacentral:rRNA from 1 species
GGACGAACGCUGGCGGCACGCUUAACACAUGCAAGUCGAACGGAGAAUUUUGGUUACUGAGAAUUCUAGUGGCGGACGGGUGAGUAACACGUGAGCAACCUGCCUCUGAGAGAGGGAUAGCUUCUGGAAACCGGAUGGUAAUACCCUCAUAACAUAACGAAGCCGCAUGACUUUGUUAUCAAAGAUUUAUCACUCAGAGAGUGGGCUCGCGUCUGAUUAGAUAGUUGGUGAGGUAACGGCUCACCAAGUCGACGAUCAGUAGCCGGACUGAGAGGUUGAACGGCCACAUUGGGACUGAGACACGGCCCAGACUCCUACGGGAGGCAGCAGUGGGGAAUAUUGCACAAUGGGGGAAACCCUGGAAUGCAGCGAUGCCGCGUGGAGGAAGAAGGUUUUCGGAUUGUAAACUCCUGUCUUAAAGGACGAUAAUGACGGUACUUUAGGAGGAAGCUCCGGCUAACUACCGUGCCAGCAGCAGC